GGCCAGGUAGCUCAGUUAGAAGAGCAACCCAGCGCAAUUGGGGGAAGGCCCUGGGUUCAAUUCCCGGUCUGGCCA